UAGGGAAUCUUCCGCAAUGGGCGAAAGCCUGACGGAGCAACGCCGCGUGAGUGAUGAAGGUCUUAGGAUCGUAAAACUCUGUUAUUAGGGAAGAACAAACGUGUAAGUAACUGUGCACGUCUUGACGGUACCUAAUCAGAAAGCCACGGCUAACUACGUGCCAGCAGCCGCGGUAAUACGUAGGUGGCAAGCGUUAUCCGGAAUUAUUGGGCGUAAAGCGCGCGUAGGCGGUUUUUUAAGUCUUAUGUGAAAGCCCACGGCUCAACCGUGGAGGGUCAUUGGAAACUGGAAAACUUGAGUGCAGAAGAGGAAAGUGGAAUUCCAUGUGUAGCGGUGAAAUGCGCAGAGAUAUGGAGGAACACCAGUGGCGAAGGCGACUUUCUGGUCUGUAACUGACGCUGAUGUGCGAAAGCGUGGGGAUCAAACA
rnacentral:rRNA from 1 species